AAGUCGAACGAACUUUCCUUUUGAUUGAUGCUUGCAUCAUGAUUUAGAUCUAAGUGAGUGGCGGACGGGUGAGUAACACGUGGGUAACCUGCCCAGAAGUGGGGGAUAACAUUUGGAAACAAGUGCUAAUACCGCAUAACAACAUUAAACACAUGUUUUUUGUUUAAAAGAUGGUUUUGCUAUCUCUUCUGGAUGGACCCGCGGCGUAUUAGCUAGUUGGUGAGGUAAUAGCUCACCAAGGCGAUGAUACGUAGCCGACCUGAGAGGGUAAUCGGCCACAUUGGGACUGAGACACGGCCCAAACUCCUACGGGAGGCAGCAGUAGGGAAUCUUCCACAAUGGACGAAAGUCUGAUGGAGCAAUGCCGCGUGAGUGAAGAAGGUUUUCGGAUCGUAAAACUCUGUUGUUGAAGAAGAACAUAUGUGAGAGUAACUGUUCACGUACUGACGGUAUUCAACCAGAAAGCCACGGCUAACUACGUGCCAGCAGCCGCGGUAAUACGUAGGUGGCAAGCGUUGUCCGGAUUUAUUGGGCGUAAAGAGAAUGUAGGCGGUUCAUUAAGUUUGAAGUGAAAGCCCUCGGCUCAACCGAGGAAGUGCUUCGAAAACUGGUGAACUUGAGUGCAGAAGAGGAAAGUGGAACUCCAUGUGUAGCGGUGGGAAUGCGUAGAUAUAUGGAAGAACACCAGUGGCGAACGCGGCUUUCUGGUCUGUAACUGACGCUGAGAUUCGAAAGCAUGGGUAGCAACAGAUUAGAUACCCUGGUAGUCAUGCGUAACGAUGAGUGCUAGUGUGAGGUUUCGCCCUCAGUGCUGCAGCUACGCAUAGCACUCCGCCUGGGGGAGUACGAUC
rnacentral:rRNA from 2 species